GAUUAUCAGGUUCCAUUCCAAAGACAGCUUUAUAACUAGAGUGUGGUCUGGACGUGUUGCACCCAGGAGCUCGUCAGAAAUGCUGACUGUCAGGUCUCACUCCAGGCCUACCAAAUGGAAGCUGCAAUUUAACAAGAUCCCCAAGGAAGACAUUUGGACACAGAGAGAUUAAGGGAUUUGCUGAGAGUCCCACAGCUUGUAGGAGGGGAGUCAGGAUUGAACUGAGGUAGACUUGUUGCACAAUCUGAGCUCUUAAGCCUUCCUGCUCCCGAAAUAAGUGACUUUGGUGUUACCCAGAACUGGAUUCCUGUAUCAGGUCCUUCUUGCUGGCCACGUACCCCUGGACAGGUUAUUUAACCUCUCUGAGCUGCUGUUUCUUCAUCGAUAAGGUUGCUGGGAUGAGGGUCCAGGUUUGGAGGACAGGAGCUGCAGAAACAGGUGCCAGAAGUCACCAGAGUGGAGUUUUAAGAUUGGUGCUGACAGCUGCCUUCUUGUGCUGACUACAAGACCGGUUCUUUCAGCCUCCUGAAGCCCUGGCAAGCUCCUUGAAAAACCUCCUCUUUUCUGGGACUCCUCAUGCAAGCAUGCCACAGUAUUUAAAAGAAGGCCAGAAUCUUCAGCACUGGAAGGAAGCUCUCAUGACGGGACAAUAGCUCUUCAAAUAGCUAUGUCCCCUGAAGUUCAGCUUCCUUCCCAGUCCACAGGCACAUUGGAGAGAGGCUGGAAUGUUAAAAAAUAAACAAAGAACCUAAGAAAACAGCAAGGAAAAUCAGAAGAGAAACCAAGAAAAGUAGCAGGGCAGGAUACCCAAUUCCCAGGGGCCUACGGAGCUGACCGCAUGCCAGAAGAAGGUGCAACACACCUGAUUCUUACAAUUCAAGUUCGAGAACAGGCUGUGCCCCCUGGGGAGCCCUUCCUCAGCCAGCUGCCCAAAUCGCUUCCCUGCGUCCGUCUCCGUAACUGCUCUCUCAGGCCACAUCCUUCGCCGAUGUCUCCAGCAUCAGCUGCCUGGUUGCCAGGCACAAAGGCCCCCAAGAAUAAUGAGAACCAUUUGCUUUUAUGGAGUGCCUCUCUUCGAGGAUGUCCAAGUACCUUUCAGACAAUUACAUGUUAUUGUUGUAAAUGGGGAAACUGAGGACUAAAUAAAUUAAACUCCUUCCUUAGAGACACAUGGCUGAUAACUCAAAGAUUCCAGUCCACCUGCUUUUCUCAUUUUCAAUCCUUCCCAAAAAAGGCAAUUUACAACCCACAAAGUGAAGCUAAAACAAAAUUCUGGAGCUUUUUUCUUUGAAGCAUGUCUCUUCCCUUAAUUACCCUUCCUACUCCACCAGCUCAUCUUCUGCUUUCCAAGGGUCUGCAGGCACUAAGCCCCCCAAGCUCCUACACUCAUGCAAGUCCAGGGGGUAUCUGUGCUCCAGAAAAACAGGGGCAGAAAGGUCAUUAGAAUACGUGGAGGCCAGGCUGCCUCCCUGCCUGGAAUUUGCUCCUACAUUAGCUUAAUUCAUACAUAUGUGUGUGUGCAUGUUUGUGUGGACAUAGGCAAUAUCUUUCAUGGGUCUGAUUCCGCAGAUAUGACAGAAGACAACGUAGGCAUGGCCUCUGACCCUGAGCUUGCAACAGCUCUGGUGCUACUACUGUCACUACCUCCACUGCACACUGGCAGAGCCAGAGAGAAGGAGGUCUCAUUUUCUCACUUGUAAGCCAAAGCACUUGAAACUACUUGCACCCACAGAAAAGG